GCUCGGUUAGCUCAGUUGGUAGAGCAUCAGACUUUUAAUCUGAGGGUCAGGGAAUCAAGUCCCCCAACGGGAA
rnacentral:tRNA from 1 species